rnacentral:rRNA from 1 species
AUUGAACGCUGGCGGCAUGCUUUACACAUGCAAGUCGAACGGCAGCGCGGGGCAACCUGGCGGCGAGUGGCGAACGGGUGAGUAAUAUAUCGGAACGUACCCAGAAGUGGGGGAUAACGUAGCGAAAGUUACGCUAAUACCGCAUACGAUCUACGGAUGAAAGUGGGGGACCUUCGGGCCUCAUGCUUGUGGAGCGGCCGAUAUCUGAUUAGCUAGUUGGUAGGGUAAGGGCCUACCAAGGCGACGAGCAGUAGCUGGUCUGAGAGGACGACCGGCCACACUGGGACGGAGGCACGGCACAGAUGCCUACGGGAGGAAGCAGUGGGGAAUUUUGGACAAUGGGCGCAAGCAUGAUCCAGCAAUGCCGCGUGAGUGAAGAAGGCCUUCGGGUUGUAAAGCUCUUUUGUCAGGGAAGAAACGGCGAUUUCUAAUAAAGAUUGCUAAUGACGGUACCUGAAGAAUAAGCACCGGCUAACUACGUGCCAGCAGCCGCCGUAA